rnacentral:rRNA from 1 species
AGAGUUUGAUCCUGGCUCAGAUUGAACGCUGGCGGCAUGCCUUACACAUGCAAGUCGAGCGGUAGAGGGGCAACCCUUGAGAGUGGCGAACGGGUGAGUAAUGCAUCGGAACGUGCCCAGUCGUGGGGGAUAACGCAGCGAAAGCUGUGCUAAUACCGCAUGUGAUCUGUGGAUGAAAGCAGGGGACUUGGUAGCAAUACUGGGCCUUGUGCGAUUGGAGCGGCCGAUGUCAGAUUAGCUAGUUGGUAGGGUAAAAGCCUACCAAGGCGACGAUCUGUAGCUGGUCUGAGAGGACGACCAGCCACACUGGGACUGAGACACGGCCCAGACUCCUACGGGAGGCAGCAGUGGGGAAUUUUGGACAAUGGGCGCAAGCCUGAUCCAGCAAUGCCGCGUGCAGGACGAAGGCCUUCGGGUUGUAAACUGCUUUUGUACGGAGCGAAACGGUCUGGGUUAAUACCCUAGGCUAAUGACGGUACCGUAAGAAUAAGCACCGGCUAACUACGUGCCAGCAGCCGCGGUAAUAC